GCAAGGAACUGGUGGCCCUCUCCAGCGACCUGCUGGACAGCCAGCUCGGCCUGCGCGAGAAACUCGCGGUGCGCCGCCACCUGCUGCUGUGCCGCCACUGCCGGCGCUUCAUCCGCCAGAUGCGCCUGACCCAGGCCAGCGUGCGCCGCCUGCCGGAAGACCGCGCCACCGGCCUGGACCUGCUGGCCGCCCGCCUGGCCGAACUGCGCCGGGAUCAUUCGCGGCGCUGAGCGCAAUCGCGGAUGAGAUUCGUGCCUCUCUGUAAGCGGGCCCUGCCCGCGAAAUCGCG
rnacentral:sRNA from 1 species